GUGCCAGCAGCCGCGGUAAUACAGAGGGUGCAAGCGUUGUUCGGAAUUAUUGGGCGUAAAGCGCGUGUAGGCGGGAUGGCAAGUCGGGUGUGAAAGCCCUCAGCUCAACUGAGGAAGUGCGCCCGAAACUACCGUUCUUGAGUGUCGGAGAGGGUGGCGGAAUUCCCGGUGUAGAGGUGAAAUUCGUAGAUAUCGGGAGGAACACCAGUGGCGAAGGCGGCCACCUGGACGAACACUGACGCUGAGACGCGAAAGCGUGGGGAGCAAACAGGAUUAGAUACCCUUGUAGUCC
rnacentral:rRNA from 1 species